AGUGAACGCUGGCGGUAUGCCUAACACAUGCAAGUCGAACGGCAGCACAGUAAGAGCUUGCUCUUACGGGUGGCGAGUGGCGGACGGGUGAGGAAUACAUCGGAAUCUACUUUUUCGUGGGGGAUAACGUAGGUAAACUUACGCUAAUACCGCAUACGACCUACGGGUGAAAGCAGGGGAUCUUCGGACCUUGCGCGAUUGAAUGAGCCGAUGUCGGAUUAGCUAGUUGGCGGGGUAAAGGCCCACCAAGGCGACGAUCCGUAGCUGGUCUGAGAGGAUGAUCAGCCACACUGGAACUGAGACACGGUCCAGACUCCUACGGGAGGCAGCAGUGGGGAAUAUUGGACAAUGGGCGCAAGCAUGAUACAGCCAUACCGAGUGGGUGAAGAAGGCCUUCGGGUUGUAAAGCCCUUUUGUUGGGAAAGAAAAGCAGCAGGUUAAUACCCCGCUGUUCUGACGGUACCCAAAGAAUAAGCACCGGCUAACUUCGUG
rnacentral:rRNA from 1 species